AUUGAACGCUGGCGGCAGGCCUAACACAUGCAAGUCGAGCGCGAAAGUACUUCGGUAUGAGUAGAGCGGCGGACGGGUGAGUAACGCGUAGGAAUCUAUCCAGUAGUGGGGGACAACUCGGGGAAACUCGAGCUAAUACCGCAUACGUCCUAAGGGAGAAAGCGGGGGAUCUUCGGACCUCGCGCUAUUGGAGGAGCCUGCGUUGGAUUAGCUAGUUGGUGGGGUAAAGGCCUACCAAGGCGACGAUCCAUAGCUGGUCUGAGAGGAUGAUCAGCCACACCGGGACUGAGACACGGCCCGG
rnacentral:rRNA from 1 species